AGAAGAGAUUUUCCUACACAGGUGUUCCUACUGACUUUCUCAAGGCACCUUGUCUCCUUCAUGCAGAAUUUAUGAGCAUUUAAGAAAUCAGCCCUCACUGCAGAGUUCCUUCAGUUCUUCCAGCUGCCAGUUCCUUGUGAUGCAAAGGUGUUUCUGCCAAAUCAAAGGAUAUUUAGAACAAACACUCCAUGGAAUAUUUGCAAAAUCAUGUGAUAGGAAGCCAAGCAUCCCAGCCUCGGCUGCUUUGAAAACCCUAGAGUCUAGAGUACCUGACACACCAGCAGGCUGAUAUCCCCUCUCACUUCCUCUCCUUUUCCAAGUCUGGCUACUGAGAUCUUUCUCACACGCUCUCAGGGAUCCUCAAGGGCGAGUCAAGACCUAUAUGUCAGUGCUGCCAUUUGUACAAAACUUAGCAUCUCCAGGACACACAGAGCCUUCUACUACAGAGUCCCAGAUUGAUAGUAAAUUCUGGUAGAUUAAAUGAGACAAAAAUGUACCAUCCCCAUUAUUGGGUUUGGCCUAAACCAAACCCAUCCCAGAGCCCAGAACAAUUUCUGAGAACAAAUGGUGCUUAAGGAAGGUCUAAAUCUUUUGGCGGCAUAACCACAACCACUCUCUAAAGGUUGUGGCAAGGCAAGGAGACUUCUUUUCACCCUGGUCCUUUUACCACUUCACCACCUCUUUCAAUCCACCAUUGAGGGAGAACAACCUAAAGAUUACAGAACACUUAUCCAGAGUUGAGACCCUGCAUUGUCAGUUAAAACCAGAAAUCUCCAUGGUGCAACUCAGAAGGAAUUGAACCCUAAGAAUAAAGCUAUAAUUGACAAGAAAUAAA